GUUAGAUUUCAUAAACUAAGCAGGGUCGGGACUGAUCUGUACUAGAAUGGGAAACCAGCUGGAAGCAGUAGGAAAUAUCUACGA
rnacentral:rRNA from 1 species